rnacentral:rRNA from 1 species
UACGUAGGGUGCAAGCGUUAAUCGGAAUUACUGGGCGUAAAGCGUGCGCAGGCGGUGAUGUAAGACAGAUGUGAAAUCCCCGGGCUUAACCUGGGAACUGCGUUUGAAACUACAGGACUAGAGUGUGGCAGAGGGAGGUGGAAUUCCAUGUGUAGCAGUGAAAUGCGUAGAGAUAUGGAAGAACAUCGAUGGCGAAGGCAACCUCCUGGGUUAACACUGACGCUCAUGCACGAAAGCGUGGGGAGCAAACAGG